rnacentral:rRNA from 1 species
CCUACGGGUGGCUGCAGUGGGGAAUAUUGCACAAUGGGGGAAACCCUGAUGCAGCGACGCCGCGUGAGUGAAGAAGUAAUUCGUUAUGUAAAGCUCCAUCAGCAGGGAAGAAAAGGACGGUACCUGAGUAAGAAGCCCCGGCUAACUACGUGCCAGCAGCCGCGGUUAUACGCAGGGGGCAAGCGUUAUCCGGAUUUAUUGGGUGUAAAGGGAGCGUAGACGGGAGGGCAAGUCCGGGGUGAAAGGCGGGGGCUCAACCCCCGAACUGCUCUGGAAACUGUACGGCUGGAGUGCAGGAGAGGUAGGUGGAAUUCCUGGUGUAGCGGUGAAAUGCGUAGAUAUUAGGAAGAACACCGGUGGCGAAGGCAGCUUACUGGACUGUAACUGACGUUGAGGCUCGAAAGCGUGGGGAGCAAACAGGAUUAGAUACCCUUGUAGUC